GACGAACGCUGGCGGCGUGCUUAACACAUGCAAGUCGAACGAUGAAGCCGGAGCUUGCUCUGGUGAAUUAGUGGCGAACGGGUGAGUAACACGUGAGUAACCUGCCCUUGACUCUGGGAUAACUGCGGGAAACUGUAGCUAAUACCGGAUACGACCCUCGGAGGCAUCUCCUGGGGGUGGAAAGAAUUUCGGUGAAGGAUGGACUCGCGGCCUAUCAGCUAGUUGGUGAGGUAAAGGCUCACCAAGGCGACGACGGGUAGCCGGCCUGAGAGGGUGACCGGCUACACUGGGACUGAGACACGGCCCAGACUCCUACGGGAGGCAGCAGUGGGGAAUAUUGCACAAUGGGCGCAAGCCUGAUGCAGCAACGCCGCGUGAGGGAUGACGGCCUUCGGGUUGUAAACCUCUUUUAGCAGGGAAGAAGCGAAAGUGACGGUACCUGCAGAAAAAGCACCGGCUAACUACGUGCCAGCAGCCGCCGUAA
rnacentral:rRNA from 1 species